rnacentral:rRNA from 1 species
UACGAAGGGGGCUAGCGUUGUUCGGAUUUACUGGGCGUAAAGCGCACGUAGGCGGACUAUUAAGUCAGGGGUGAAAUCCCGGGGCUCAACCCCGGAACUGCCUUUGAUACUGGUAGUCUUGAGUUCGAGAGAGGUGAGUGGAAUUCCGAGUGUAAAGGUGAAAUUCGUAGAUAUUCGGAGGAACACCAGUGGCGAAGGCGGCUCACUGGCUCGAUACUGACGCUGAGGUGCGAAAGCGUGGGGAGCAAACAGGAUUAGAUACCCCCGUAGUCC